rnacentral:misc_RNA from 1 species
AACUUUUAAUUCUAUGUUACAUGAUGACAAUACAAGUUUCUUAGAUAUUAUUUGUAUUAUGUGUGCUCGUUAGACAUCUAUUGAAUAAGUUUUGUAUAUAAUAUCGAAGUACUGAAGACGGUUUCCUACAAACGUUUCAACCAAAAUUAGUAAAUAGCCCUAUUUAUCUAUAAUAUUGUACCUUCUCUAGCAUAUCAAAUUGAACACAUUCAGCGAAUUUUUCUGAAGUAAUAGAGCUAUUUUUUAUUAUUGUAUUUC